ensembl:miRNA
CGAGGAUGGGAGCUGAGGGCUGGGUCUUUGCGGGCGAGAUGAAGGUGUCGGAUCAACUGGCCUACAAAGUCCCAGUCCUCGGCCCCCG